CAGCUCGUGUCGUGAGAUGUUGGGUUAAGUCCCGCAACGAGCGCAACCCUUGUCUCAUGUUGCCAGCGGGUAAUGCCGGGGACUCGUGAGAGACUGCCGGGGUCAACUCGGAGGAAGGUGGGGAUGACGUCAAGUCAUCAUGCCCCUUAUGUCCAGGGCUUCACACAUGCUACAAUGGCCGGUACAAAGGGCUGCGAAGCCGUGAGGUGGAGCGAAUCCCUGCAAAGCCGGUCUCAGUUCGGAUCGGGGUCUGCAACUCGACCCCGUGAAGUCGGAGUCGCUAGUAAUCGCAAAUCAGCAACGCUGCGGUGAAUACGUUCCCGGGCCUUGGACACACCGA
rnacentral:rRNA from 1 species